GAAAAAUCAAAAACAGAUUGAUGGAUAACAAAGAGGCUUCAGAAAAAUCAUCUUCCCAGAAGAUGGAUAACCAAGAAGCUUCAGAAGCUAUUGAUGCACUCUCAUUGACAGCUUCCUCAUCCAAUCCUUCCAUUUCAGCUUCACAGAUGAGUUUGGAGGAAAAGUUCAAGAUUGUUAGGAGUAUUGGGGAGGAAUGCAUACAGGAGGAUGAGUUGAUGAAUCUUUUGGCAAAGAAGCCACAACCUAUUUGCUAUGAUGGUUUUGAGCCUUCUGGUCGAAUGCACAUUGCUCAGGGAGUUUUGAAGGCACUAAAUGUCAACAAACUGACUUCGGCUGGCUGCAAGGUGAAGAUCUGGAUUGCAGAUUGGUUUGCCCAGCUAAAUAACAAGAUGGGAGGUGAUCUGAAGAAAAUUGAGGUUGUUGGUCAAUAUUUGAUUGAGAUAUGGAAGGCU
rnacentral:misc_RNA from 1 species